GCCCGGCUAGCUCAGUUGGUAGAGCAUGAAACUCUCAAUCUCAGGGUCAUGGGUUCGAGCCCCACGUUGGGCG
rnacentral:tRNA from 1 species